rnacentral:rRNA from 1 species
ACGGGAGGCAGCAGUGGGGGAUAUUGCACAAUGGGGGGGACCCUGAUGCAGCGACGCCACGUGAGCGAAGAAGUAUUUCGGUAUGUAAAGCUCUAUCAGCAGGGAAGAAAAUGACGGUACCUGACUAAGAAGCCCCGGCUAACUACGUGCCAGCAGCCGCGGUAAUAAGUAGGGGGCAAGCGUUAUCCGGAUUUACUGGGUGUAAAGGGAGCGUAGACGGCGAUGCAAGUCUGAUGUGAAAGCCCGGGGCUCAACCCCGGCACUGCAUUGGAAACUGUGUUGCUAGAGUGCAGGAGAGGUAAGUGGAAUUCCUAGUGUAGCGGUGAAAUGCGUAGAUAUUAGGAGGAACACCAGUGGCGAAGGCGGCUUACUGGACUGUAACUGACGUUGAGGCUCGAAAGCGUGGGGAGCAAACAGGAUUAGAUACCCUGGUA